rnacentral:rRNA from 1 species
UCGUUGGUGAACCAGCGGAGGGAUCAUUACUGAGUUUACGCUCUAUAACCCUUUGUGAACAUACCUAUAACUGUUGCUUCGGCGGGUAGGGUCUCCGCGACCCUCCCGGCCUCCCGCCUCCGGGCGGGUCGGCGCCCGCCGGAGGAUAACCAAACUCUGAUUUAACGACGUUUCUUCUGAGUGGUACAAGCAAAUAAUCAAAACUUUUAACAACGGAUCUCUUGGUUCUGGCAUCGAUGAAGAACGCAGCGAAAUGCGAUAAGUAAUGUGAAUUGCAGAAUUCAGUGAAUCAUCGAAUCUUUGAACGCACAUUGCGCCCGCCAGCAUUCUGGCGGGCAUGCCUGUUCGAGCGUCAUUUCAACCCUCAAGCUCUGCUUGGUGUUGGGGCCCUACAGCUGAUGUAGGCCCUCAAAGGUAGUGGCGGACCCUCCCGGAGCCUCCUUUGCGUAGUAACUUUACGUCUCGCACUGGGAUCCGGAGGGACUCUUGCCGUAAAACCCCCCAAUUUUCCAAAGGUUGACCUCGGAUCAGGUAGGAAUACCCGCUGAACUUAAGCAUAU